rnacentral:rRNA from 1 species
GACGUAACGCUCGGCGGGCGAGGCUUAACACAUGCAAGUCGAGCGCCCCGGCAAGGGGAGCGGCAGACGGGUGAGUAACGCGUGGGAAUCUACCUUUUGCUACGGAAUAACUCAGGGAAACUUGUGCUAAUACCGUAUGUGCCCUUCGGGGGAAAGAUUUAUCGGCAAAGGAUGAGCCCGCGUUGGAUUAGCUAGUUGGUGGGGUAAAGGCCUACCAAGGCGACGAUCCAUAGCUGGUCUGAGAGGAUGAUCAGCCACACUGGGACUGAGACACGGCCCAG